rnacentral:rRNA from 1 species
AUAUUGGCGAGAGACCGAUAGCGAACAAGUACCGUGAGGGAAAGAUGAAAAGCACUUUGGAAAGAGAGUUAAACAGCACGUGAAAUUGUUAAAAGGGAAACGAUUGAAGUCAGUCGUGUGAAAGGUAUUCAGCCGUCUCUGGCGGUGUAUUUGCCUUUCACGGGUCAACAUCAGUUUGAUCCGGUAGAAAAAGGCAGGAGGAAGGAGGCACCCUCGGGUGUGUUAUAGCCUCUUGUCAUAUGUGCCGGACCAGACUGAGGAACGCAGCUUGCCGCAAGGCCGGGGUUCGCCCACGUACAAGCUUAGGAUGUUGACAUAAUGGCUUUAAACGACCCGUCUUGAAAC